ACAGACAUCUACUAUGCACCUAUUGGCAGCCCUAUCGUUCCUGCUUCUUUUGGUUUCCGUAACUUUGGGUCAAUGGAUUGCCGGACCACCGGGCUAUUAUUUUGGGGAUUCACCAGAUUCGCCAGACACACCUGAUUUUGUGUUCGCUGGACCACGCCCCUUCCCGGGACCAUUUCUGUACAGAGGACCUAUCGUCUACGGAUAAACAAAAUGUGCAGACUUAAUGAUUCAUUGAAUAAAGCCUUGAAAUUC